AUAUAGGAAUGUGUGUGUGCUUAGUGUGUUCUUUUCUGUAGCUUUUCAAAAAAAAAAAGAUGUCAAGUUUGAAUCUGCAAACAAACACUCAACAUCUAUACAAGUGUGAACUAGCUUAAUCACAUUGACAGUCGUCCUGGGUUCUGCUUUUGAUAAGCCAUUAUAAAAUAUCACACACAAACACACACAUGGCAUUCUUUUUGACGUCUGAGCCAAACAGUUGAAAGAGAUAAAUCUGUGAAGUGUUUGAGUUGCAGUGCAGAUCUCUUCUCUCUGUGUGCGUGUGUCAGCGUUUCAACUGCUUCUAACCUCACUGUUAAAUCAGACGAGUCUGUUAACUUGAAGCUAAUUUCUGGACUACAGGGAGCACCUGAAUAUAGACCGCACCAAUUAACUUUGAAAAGAAAAACAUUUAUGGGUUGCACUUGUUACAUAUUAUAUUAUUAUUUGAUCAUAUUAUUUUGAUGUUUUAUUAUAAUUAUUUUACUUUUAAUUUUUCAUUCUUAACCAAAUCAUGUAAUAAAAUAAAAGGUCUUUUGUGUCAAAAAGUGCAUCUGUACUGCCACAUUAGCGAUCUGAAAAUAUUAGUCAUUCAUAACAAAAUGUAUUACAUACAAAAAAUAUUAUGUUAGUACAGAAUACAUUCUGUACUAAUAUACAGAAUGUUACUAACUACAUAAGUUAUGUACUUAUGUUAGUAUGUUAGUAGCAUAAUAACUUCUUAGUAUGUUAGUUAAAUGUAACUAACAUACCAACAUAUGUUUGUAUGCCAAUUAGUAACAUGGUUAGUAUGUUACUAACUGUGCUAAUAACAUACUAACGUGUUAGUUAAAUGUACAUAACAUACUAACACAUUUUAUUUACUAACAUGCUAACAUAUGCUAGUAUGUUGGUUAAAUUUAACAUACUAAAACAUGUUAGCACUAACAUAUUCUGUUAGUUUUACUACCAAAUUAGUAUGUUACUAAUAUACUAACUUAUGUCAGUAUUUUAGCUAAAUGUAACUAACAUACUAGCAUGUGUUAGUAUGUUACUGACUAACAUACCAUAUUUUCCGGACAAUAAGCCGCAACUUUAUUCUAAGCUUUGAACAAUGCUGCUUAUAGUCCGGAAAAUACAGUACUAGUAUGUUACUGACAUACUAACUUGUUAGUAUGUUAGUUACUAACAACUAGUAGUACUAUAUUAGUAUGUUAGAAUACUAACAUAUUCUGUUCUUUAAAGUCACAGCUGUGACACAGAAGCAUUGUGACAUUUAUUGUGUUUUCUAAGUUUUCCAUGAAGGAGAGUUUUACCCACUUACUGUAAUGUUAAUCCCACUUAAAUGGAAUUGAAUGUUUCACAAGCACCAAGUUCAUCUCCAUUUGGGUCAGCAAUAAAGUGGUCUAAAGACAAACUAAGCUGCCGGCCUUCUUCUAAAACUCCAUUUAAUAACAGGAAAUAAACAUGUUUCUGUCAAGAGCGGGCUGCCAUUAUGCAAGUUGGGAAAGUAAGAGAUAAAAAAAAUAUGCAUGAACAGCAUUUCCAUAACAACCAGAGCUGGAUUCUGCUUAAUAAAUAGAAAAAAAA